rnacentral:snRNA from 1 species
GGACGGGGCAGGGAACCUAGAGGCAACAUCUGUCACCCCCUUGAUCACCAGGGUUGACUGGGCUGAUUUGGAUGGUUAGGCAGGUGUCCCCUUCCUCCCUCACCACUCCAUGUGUGACUUUUGGUGAAGCUGUGUGCUUGGUGGAAGAGGACAACCACCCUGGAUAGAGAAGGAGAGCCAUUUCCUUGAUCACGGGUAUACGAGUAGUUACAUUCCCCCGUUAGAACCUCCAAACAAGCUUUUAAAGAAACUGAGGCAAGAGGAUUGCAGCGAGGCUAGCCUGUACUACAUAGUGAGGUCCUGU